GUCGUGAGAUGUUGGGUUAAGUCCCGCAACGAGCGCAACCCUUGUCCCUAGUUACCAGCGGGUAAAGCCGGGCACUCUAGGGAGACUGCCGGUGUCAAACCGGAGGAAGGUGGGGACGACGUCAAGUCAUCAUGGCCCUUACGUCCAGGGCGACACACGUGCUACAAUGGCCGGUACAAACCGUUGCAAGCCUGCGAGGGUGAGCUAAUCGGAAAAAGCCGGUCUAAGUUCGGAUUGUGGUCUGCAACUCGACCACAUGAAGCUGGAAUCGCUAGUAAUCGUGGAUCAGCCAUGCCACGGUGAAUACGUUCCCGGGCCUUGUACACACCGCCCGUCACGCCAUGGAAGCUGGGGGGACCUAAAGUCGGUGGGCUAACCGCAAGGAGGCAGCCGCCAAAGGUCAAUUCAGUGACUGGGGCGAAGUCGUAACAAGGUAGCCGUAGGGGAACCUGCGGCUGGAUCACCUCCUUUCUGGAGAUCUCGAGUACGGAUGUUCCGUCGGCAGCAAUGCCGGCGCUGCAUCACAGAAAGAGUCUCUGUAGUCGCCCACACUCGUUCUCUCUCUCCGUUUGCAUUACUCCAAUAGAUCAGUCGCGAGCGCCAGUGCGCCCGCGACUCUGCUCUUUGACAAUUGAGGGAUUGGGUAACAGUAGUAAAAUUGGAAUCGAAACCGAUCGGUUCGUGGCGACCACCAUCGCGGGUGGAAGCGGCGGACCAAGAAUCAAUGUUUGAGAUCAAACAAGAUAAGGCACACGGUGAAUGCCUUGGCAUCAAGAGGCGAUGAAGGGCGUGGUAAGCUGCGAUAAGCCUGGGGGAGCUGCAUACGAGCUAUGAUCUCAGGAUGC
rnacentral:sRNA from 1 species